GCUCAUAUAGCUCAGUCGGUAGAGCACUUCCUUGGUAAGGAAGAGGUCAUCGGUUCAAUUCCGAUUAUGAGCUCCA
rnacentral:tRNA from 1 species